rfam:Brassica napus, WGS project CCCW01000000 data, contig: 2741
GUCAUUUUGAGGACAUCUGAUAAAAUUAGAAAGAUAGAGAGAAAAUUAGCAAGAAUGACAUGCACAAAUCAGAGAAUUGUCCAAUAUGU